AAAAGAACAAAAUCCAAAA
rnacentral:sRNA from 1 species